ACGGAAGAUCCGAGCGUUAUCCGGAAUUACUGGGCGUAAAGAGCGCGCAGGCGGUCGUUCAAGUCGCGUGUGAAAGCCCCCGGCUCAACUGGGGAGGGUCACGCGAUACUGAUCGACUCGAAGGCAGGAGAGGGUAGUGGAAUUCCCGGUGUAGUGGUGAAAUGCGUAGAUAUCGGGAGGAACACCAGUGGCGAAGGCGACUACCUGGCCUGUUCUUGACGCUGAGGCGCGAAAGCUAGGGGAGCAAACGGGA
rnacentral:rRNA from 1 species